UACGGAGGGUGCAAGCGUUGUCCGGAUUUAUUGGGCGUAAAGAGCGUGUAGGCGGUUUUACAGGUCCGCUGUGAAAACUCGAGGCUCAACCUCGAGCUGUCGGUGGAAACCGUAUGGCUAGAGUCCGGAAGAGGAGAGUGGAAUUCCUGGUGUAGCGGUGAAAUGCGCAGAUAUCAGGAGGAACACCUAUUGCGAAGGCAGCUCGCUGGACGUAACUGACGCUGAGACGCGAAAGCGUGGGAGCAAACAGG
rnacentral:rRNA from 1 species